UCGAGAAUCUUUCACAAUGGGGGCAACCCUGAUGGAGCGACGCCGCGUGGAGGAUAAGGUCUUCGGAUUGUAAACUCCUGUCAUGUGUGAACAAGGUUGUGUUGUUAAUAGCGAUGCAAAUUGAUGGUAACACAAGAGGAAGAGACGGCUAACUCUGUGCCAGCAGCCGCGGUAAUACAGAGGUCUCAAGCGUUGUUCGGAAUCACUGGGCGUAAAGGGUGCGUAGGUGGCGUGGUAAGUCAGAUGUGAAAGCCCGGGGCUCAACCUCGGAAUUGCAUCCGAUACUACCAUGCUAGAGUACUGAAGAGGUGACUAGAAUUCUCGGUGUAGCAGUGAAAUGCGUAGAUAUCGAGAGGAAUACCAACGGCGAAGGCAGGUCACUGGGCAGUUACUGACACUGAGGCACGAAGGCCAGGGGAGCAAACGGGAUUAGAUACCCCCGUAGUCC
rnacentral:rRNA from 1 species